rnacentral:rRNA from 1 species
CACGGGGGGAGCAAGCGUUGUUCGGAAUCACUGGGCGUAAAGGGCGUGUAGGCGGUCAGGUAAGUGAGACGUGAAAUGCCCCGGCUUACCCGGGGACCUGCGUCUCGUACUGCUUGGCUUGAGUACGGGAGAGGGUGUGGGAAUUCCUGGUGUAGCGGUGAAAUGCGUAGAUAUCAGGAGGAACACCGGUGGCGAAGGCGCACACCUGGCCCGAUACUGACGCUGAGGCGCGAAAGCUAGGGGAGCAAACGGG